rnacentral:rRNA from 1 species
CUAUAUGUUUAACGGCCGCGGUAUUUUGACCGUGCGAAGGUAGCGCAAUCACUUGUCUUUUAAAUAAAGACCUGUAUGAAUGGCAUCACGAGGGCUCAACUGUCUCCUCUUUCAAGUCAAUGAAAUUGAUCUCCCCGUGCAGAAGCGGGGAUAAACACAUAAGACGAGAAGACCCUAUGGAGCUUUAGACACUAAAGCAGACCGACAUUAAGACCCCAGACACGGGACACAAAUAAAUUGGGGCCUGCCCUAAUGUCUUUGGUUGGGGCGACCGUGGAGAACAAUAAAACCUCCACAAGGACCGAAUGUAUAGCAUUCACAACCAAGAACGACAGUUCUAAUUAACAGAAUUUCUGACCAAUAAGAUCCGGCAACGCCGAUCAAUGAACCGAGUUACCCUAGGGAUAACACGCGCAAUCUCCUCUUAUCAAAGAGUCCAUAUCGACGAGGAGGUUUACGAAACUCGAUGUUGGAUCAGGACAUCCUAAUGGUGCAGCCG